GACGAACGCUGGCGGCGUGCUUAACACAUGCAAGUCGAACGGAAAGGCCCUGCUAUUGUGGGGUGCUCGAGUGGCGAACGGGUGAGUAACACGUGAGUAACCUGCCCUUGACUUUGGGAUAACUUCAGGAAACUGGGGCUAAUACCGGAUAGGAGCUCCUGCUGCCGGGUGGGGGUUGGAAAGUUGCGGCGGUUGGGGAUGGACUCGCGGGUUAUCAGCUUGUUGGUGGGGUAGUGGCAUACCAAGGCCUUGACGGGUAGCCGGCCUGAGAGGGUGACCGGCCCCAUUGGGACUGAGAUACGGCCCAGACGGCUACGGGAGGCAGCAGUGGGGAAUAUUGUACAGUGGGCGGAAGUCGGAGGCAGCAGCGCCGGGUGCGGGAUGACGGCCUGCGGGUUGUAAACCGCUUGCGCCUGUGACGAAGCGUUAGUGACGGUAAUGGGUAAAGAAGCACCGGCUAACUACGUG
rnacentral:rRNA from 1 species